UACAGAGGUCUCAAGCGUUGUUCGGAUUCAUUGGGCGUAAAGAGCUCGUAGGCGGCUUGUCACGUCGGGUGUGAAAGCCCGGGGCUUAACCCCGGGUCUGCAUUCGAUACGGGCUGGCUAGAGUGUGGUAGGGGAGAUCGAAUUCCUGGUGUAGCGGUGAAAUGCGCAGAUAUCAGGAGGAACACCGGUGGCGAAGGCGGAUCUCUGGGCCAUUACUGACGCUGAGGAGCGAAAGCGUGGGGAGCGAACAGG
rnacentral:rRNA from 1 species